UACUAGAGUAGCACUCGCAUAUCAAUAAGCGGAGGAAAAGAAACUAACAAGGAUUCCCCUAGUAACGGCGAGUGAAGCGGGAAGAGCUCAAAUUUGAAAUCUUAAAGGGUUUCCCUUUACGAAUUGUAGUUUAAAGAAGUGUUUUCUGUUGAGGUUUUGGUAAAAGUUCUUUGGAAUAGGACAUCAUAGAGGGUGAGAAUCCCGUAUUUGACCUUUACUUUCAACUUUGUGAUACACUUUCAAAGAGUCGGAUUGUUUAGGGAAUGCAGUCCAAAAUGGGUGGUAAAUUUCAUCUAAAGCUAAAUAUUGGCGAGAGACCGAUAGCGAACAAGUACCGUGAGGGAAAGAUGAAAAGAACUUUGAAAAGAGAGUUAAACAGUACGUGAAAUUGUCAAAAGGGAAGCGUUUGACACCAGUGUUGUUUUUCUGAAAAUCAAUUAAAGAACUGUUUAUGCUAAGCUGUUUAGACUUUAUCAGCUAUCUGUUUAGUUUUGAGCUUUUCUUUAAUGCACUUUUCAGUUAACAAGUCAACAUCAAUUUCUUUUGCUGUAAAAAAGCUUGAGGAAGGUGGCUUGAGAUUCGUCUUAAGUGUUUAUCAGCCUCUUGCCUAUGCAGUCGGAGAGAUUGAGGUCUGCAGCGUAGAUCCUUCGGGGCUAAAUGCAUUUGUGCUAAGUUAUAGCAUUUUAUAGACAACUUGUUGACUAUGAUUUGUCUUGUAGCUUACUCGCUUAUGUUAUUUUACCUACGCUUAGGAUGUUGAGUCAUCACACAUCUCU
rnacentral:rRNA from 1 species